CUUACGUUGUUGGUUUGAUGAAACAAUGCAAGUAAUAAUGGAAUGUUUGAGACUAAGGUUGAGAAGCAGCUUACUUGUGACUGUGAGGAAAGUGAAGCUGAAAUGCAGAGUGUCAAGAUACUAAGAUGAGAUUGAUGAGAAGACUAAGAAAGCAAGUGAGUGGAAUGACGAGUUUGAGUGGAGC